AGGCAGGAGCUGAGCCGCUGAGCUAAAUCCCAGCCCCAGAAAUUAGUUUUCUAGAUUGUUAGAUGUUCAUGUUUAAGAUAUACAGUGUGCAGACCAGAGAGGGAAACAGUGACCACUGGAGGGAAGAUGGGAAGUGGCCCUCACCACAGACUCUGGUUCCUUUUCUCCUAUGGAACAAAAGGCCUGAACCGCUGGGGAAGGACAGCAAAGCUCUUGUCUGCAGACAAAGGUUGGCCCAAGACAUUCCCUAUCAAUACCAAGCACAUAUGUAAGCUGAAAUGAAAGCAAGGCCUCAGGCAACCACUGAUCUGAUCUCAUAAGCACAGACUCAUUUUCCUGUGGUGGAUGUUGUGGAAGUGGAAUCAUGCACAUGUGUGCAGCAAGGUAAGGCUUCCUUCACUCAGUAGGGUGUCUUCAAGAUGAAUCCAUGUUGAACUUGAUAUAUACAGAGGUACCUCAGUUCAUGAACCUAAUUCAUUUCACAAUUUUGGUGGUGAACUGAGUUGGCUACAAACUAAAUCAAAUUUCCCCAUAAAGUUCAAUGUAAAUAAGGUUAAUCUGUUCUGAACCGUAUGUAUUUUUUUAAACAACAAACAUAUGAAACAAAGUACAGUACAGCAUGAAGAGAGAGAACACUUGAUUGAGGUGACUUCUGGGAUAGAGGACGGGAAGGUGGGUAGGAAGAAGUUAUUGUUUGGAGGUAGCUUGCCCUUCCGUAAGGACAUCAGUGAGAUCUUCUGGGGUUUCCCCUCUUCUUUGACCCUCAGUGGCAGGGUCAGUUUUGAUGAAAAAAAAAAAAAAAAAAAAAAAACCUGUCUAAUGUCACUUGUUUUCUCCUAUGCUGCAUAACCUUACAGGAGUGAGAGAACACUUUAUCAUUCAUCAGAUUCAACCCUCUGCUAAUUAUAGUUAUGUUGGAGUGGUGCUUCUCAAAGAAACCCUGGCACUCACUCCACUUUUCCAUAAUUGAUUUUAUCACAUCAUUGCCAACCUCCCCCCGUCUUCCUCUUCCUCAGUGGAAUGCUCCUGGGCAAGCACCUUCUGUGGCUCACUGUAGAACUCAGCAAGUUCUUCCAUCAUUAGCUCCUCCUUAUGGUCCUCAACAAGCUUCUCUGUAUAUGCACCAUCAACAUGCAGGCUCAUACUCCUGCUCAUGGACACAAUGUCAUCCACUACCUGUGCAUCAGAUCCUUCAGAGUCACAUUCAGUGACACAUUCUAGCCAUAGCUUCCUCUGGGCUGAG